rnacentral:lncRNA from 1 species
AUUAUGCAGCUUCCAGCAGCUUGCUGUGGAGUCUCGUCUCUCACUCUCCUAUACCUUGAAACCCCUCUUUACUAAUGUUUCGUGGAGCUUUGGGAGAGAGUGAACUGUUUCCUUGGCAUUCUAAGCUGCAGCUGCCAAGAGUCUGCUUGCUCUCACUGAGAAUAGUAAUGAGGAUGCUGUGAGUCCAGAGCUUCCAAAGAGAGUUUGAUGGACAAAGGAAUGUGGAACCAAGAGAUGAGAAAGGAGACUUCUGACAAGGCACUGGAUCCAGCCAUUCCUGAAGGCAUCUCAUCUCACCCACAGAUGUGAGCCAGUGAAUUCUGUUUGAGGUUAUUCUUUAUUCAGUUUCGUUUGGCUUGCACUUCUGCCAGGUACAGCUGAGAGAUGCCUGACCCGUGCUUUGUCUUCUCUAAAUUUAUCUGCUGGCCAUGCUCUCUGCUCCUCUUCCUCUCCCAGGCUAUUUGAACCGCACCUUCUCAGAGAGCCAUACCUACUGAAACAGCACCUUGGUUCUCUUCUUUCUCCUGAUUGUGACUUAUUUUUCUGUUCCCCCUACACUCUGACCAAGCCAGGACCCCUCCAAGGAUGCCAAACACACUCCGGGAACCGCAGAUGGUAUGGAGCAUCUGAGUGCCAGCCCAUCGGGUGUCGUGACCGUUAGAUGGCUUAGAACAGCACCUGUGGUUGCCCUGGGGGCUGACAGAUGCUGAGAACUGCUCUGUCUUACCGUUUGUCCAGGUAUGUUCUGCACAAGGACGAGCCUGAUAAAUUCCCCCCAUAAUUUGUUUUAUUUUUAUUUUUUAUACGCUUUAUUUCCUUAUUUUAAAAAAAAUUUAUGAUUUUUAUUUUUUCCAUUAUAGGGGAUGUACAGUGUUCUGUCAAUUUCUACUGCACAGCAACGUGACCCCGUCACACCUGCAUAUACCUCUUUUUCUCACAUUAUCCUCCACUGUGCUCCACCACAGGGAUUGGAUAUAGUUCUCUGUGCUAUACAGCAGGAUCUCAUGGCUUAUCCACUCUAAAUGCAGUAGUUUGCAUCUGUUAACCCCAGAUGUCUUGUCCAUCCCACUCCCCCCGCUCCCUCUUAGCAACCACAAGUCCAUUCUCUGUGGCCAUGAGUCUCUUUUCUGUGGAAAGUUUCAUUUGUGCCACACAUUAGAUUCCAGAUGUAAGUGAUAUCAUAUGGUACUUGUCUUUCUCUUUCUGACUUUCUUCACUUAGUAUGAGUGUCUCUCAUUCCAUCCAUGUUGCUGCAAGUGGCAUUAUUUCGUUCUCCUAUAAUUUAGAACCUUGAAAGAGCUCACUGCUUUGAAAAAAGAGCCAUCUUACAUUUUAUUCCAAAUGCAAAUUAAAUACAAAAAUUACUUCUCCAGGAAGGUAAACUGGUGCAGCCCCUAUGGAGAACAGUAUGGAAGAGCCUUAAGAAAAACUAAAAAUAGAGACACCAUAUGGUUCAGCAAUCCCAGUCCUGGGCAUCUAUUUGGAGAAAACUCUACAUU